rnacentral:rRNA from 1 species
CCUACGGGUGGCAGCAGUGGGAAUAUUGGACAAUGGGGGGAACCCUGAUCCAGCCAUGCCGCGUGUGUGAAGAAGGCCCUCGGGUUGUAAAGCACUUUCAGUGAGGAAGAACGCCUGGUGGUUAAUACCCAUCAGGAAAGACAUCACUCACAGAAGAAGCACCGGCUAACUCCGUGCCAGCAGCCGCGGUAAUACGGAGGGUGCGAGCGUUAAUCGGAAUUACUGGGCGUAAAGCGCGCGUAGGUGGCUUGAUAAGCCGGUUGUGAAAGCCCCGGGCUCAACCUGGGAACGGCAUCCGGAACUGUCAAGCUAGAGUGCAGGAGAGGAAGGUAGAAUUCCCGGUGUAGCGGUGAAAUGCGUAGAGAUCGGGAGGAAUACCAGUGGCGAAGGCGGCCUUCUGGACUGACACUGACACUGAGGUGCGAAAGCGUGGGUAGCAAACAGGAUUAGAUACCCCAGUAGUC